rnacentral:ncRNA from 1 species
CAGGAUAGCUGUAAUGCAUUUAGUUAAGGGGAGUAGAGAUAUGGGUAGAGGUGCAGGAGCCCUUCGGGUUCUCAACUUAUUUCCAAACUUCGAACCUCCUUGUUAGGCAUUUACCUAACUGGAAAUGCUUAAAUGAAUUAGCGUUACAAGUGGGCUCUGACCGGUAAGCGGUCAUGGCGAAAUGGGAUGAACCAUACGUCUGAAUAAGGUGCCGAAAUGUACUAUCACUGAUACCAUAAAGGGAGUCCAUGUAUUUAGACAGCAGGUCGGUGCCCCUAAAAGCAGGUAUCCGCUAAAGAGUGUGUUAAAACUCACCUGCCGAAUACUAGGGCCCCGAAAAUGAAUGGCGCAUAUAGUACUACCGAUCUCAGACAUCAGUUCUAUUGAACUGAGAGUAGGGGGAUGUGGACAUUUUUGUGAAGGUGCAAUGUGAGUUGGACUGGAAGAAUGUCUAUUACAGAUCCUAAUUGAAGUAGCGAUUAUCCAGGCUUGUAUCCUGGGGGCUGAUGAGGAGUAGGGUUUCUGGACAACUUAAACAGAUCCAGAGUUAGUCGAUCCUAAUCUCAAUAAUGGGAGAAAGGGAGUACAGUUGAUAUUCUGUAACUGACAACAGUUCGCGGCAACGCAUACUAUUUUUCUCCGCCAAUCUUAUACCGUUGGUAGGGAUCUCUUUCCUACAUGACAGUACUAAUACCCAGGGAAACUGGUCAUCAGGCGAACUGCGGCGUUCUGCUGGCAAAACAUAGCUUCGGUUAUGUCAAUGGCUAUUGGAUUGGUCCAUGAAGC